UCUUGGAUGAGUUGCGAACGGGUGAGUAACGCGUAGGUAACCUGCCUUGUAGCGGGGGAUAACUAUUGGAAACGAUAGCUAAUACCGCAUAACAAUGGAUGACACAUGUCAUUUAUUUGAAAGGGGCAAUUGCUCCACUACAAGAUGGACCUGCGUUGUAUUAGCUAGUAGGUGAGGUAACGGCUCACCUAGGCGACGAUACAUAGCCGACCUGAGAGGGUGAUCGGCCACACUGGGACUGAGACACGGCCCAGACUCCUACGGGAGGCAGCAGUAGGGAAUCUUCAGCAAUGGGGGCAACCCUGACCGAGCAACGCCGCGUGAGUGAAGAAGGUUUUCGGAUCGUAAAGCUCUGUUGUAAGUCAAGAACGAGUGUGAGAGUGGAAAGUUCACACUGUGACGGUAGCUUACCAGAAAGGGACGGCUAACUACGUGCCAGCAGCCGCGGUAAUACGUAGGUCCCGAGCGUUGUCCGGAUUUAUUGGGCGUAAAGCGAGCGCAGGCGGUUUGAUAAGUCUGAAGUUAAAGGCUGUGGCUCAACCAUAGUUCGCUUUGGAAACUGUCAAACUUGAGUGCAGAAGGGGAGAGUGGAAUUCCAUGUGUAGCGGUGAAAUGCGUAGAUAUAUGGAGGAACACCGGUGGCGAAAGCGGCUCUCUGGUCUGUAACUGACGCUGAGGCUCGAAAGCGUGGGGAGCGAACAGGAUUAGAUANCCUGGUAGUCCACGCCGUAAACGAUGAGUGCUAGGUGUUGGAUCCUUUCUGGGAUUCAGUGC
rnacentral:rRNA from 1 species